rfam:Stegodyphus mimosarum contig66006, whole genome shotgun sequence.
GCCUUCGUGGUGUACUGGUUAGCAUGCUCGACGCGUAACCGAGAGGUCCGUGGUUCGAUUCCCGGCGAAGGCG